CAUAUCACUCCCGAGGCGGGCUGCGGGCGGGCUCUCCAGACGAAGAGAAAGCCAGCGGCAGGCAGGCAGCGACUCUCCCGCGUCACGCAGCUCUGCUACCCGCGGUGGACAGACGGCACAGCGCAGACAGACACCAAGUCAGGUGCGGCCGCGGUGCGCUAUCGUGAUAACGCGCGCACAGGUGUACACGGGCAAGGAGCUGCGGCGGCCUUGCGUGCGGCGCCCGCGCCGAGUAUGGAGCAGUGGUGCUGGCGCCUGAACUGCUGCGAGGAUGGCUUGACCAGCUACAACACAGAGAGGCAUGUGGGGUUGCCGUUGUUGCGGACUCGCUCUCCCGCCCUCACGGCGCUCGACACGUGGCCCUGUCAUUGUGGAGGAUGGCGGAGCGCGACGGACCUGGGCACGUGCGCUGGCGCUGCUGUGGGCCGUCGCGUGCGCCUUCGAGCACCGAUUGCCUUGGCCCAUUGCGGGUGGGAACCCAAAGGCAGGCUGAACAAGCUCGCAAAACAGGCAGUGCCAGGGGCGCCGACGCCAACUGCAUGGAUUCCGGACCUGGCCACCGGUCUCCGACGCCCGGCCGACGCCCACCGAAACGGCGCUACGCGAUGCGGCACGCUGAGACGAGAGCAGCUACUAGGCGGCAUCUGCCCGGCACCACAAGAGCGCGGAUGCUGAGCUGACGAGACGACAGGCGACCCUCCUCGCCCAGCUGCGCACGAGCACCUGUCCGCACUUUGGGCUCCUGCAAUGGCGGGUGACGGGCAGCGACAGCGUGGGGUCGCAGGUGGUGUGCUGCCUACUACUGCGCUGGCGUUGCGGUGCUCUCCCCCCCCUCUGUGACUUUUCGGAAGGACAAGCCAUGAUCUCUCUGCGUGCAGGCACAUGCUUAUGCACGGCCCCCCUCCCUCCGCUUGACAUGCCCGCUCCUGUGCAGGGCGCGCGGACUCAGGAGAGGGUGGAGUGUUCCAUGUCGCCGCAGGCUCAUAGCGGCGUCCCACCUAUCCCACCUGUCGCGGCACGUGCGGGCGAGCCGUGCCGACAUGCCGCCCUCCCCUCCCCCAUGACAGAGAGGGAAAUGGAGGAUGAGGACAGCGACUGACCGACGCAGCAGCGUCGUUUUGAAACAGGCCCCAGGAUCCGUUAGUGCGAGCACUGUGUGCCGACGCUGUCAGGUACAGACGACAUGGCGCGUCACAUCGAAGCAGGGCGUGCAGAGGUGAGAGGAGCACGAGUGAUCGACGGAGAAGGCGCGAAGGUAUCCACACCGAUGAGCCCCAAAACGCAUGGGCGCAAACCACGCGGCAUCCCCUGCAUCCGGCCGGGCGGACUGAUGCGGCACGGAUGCCGGGAGCGUGAGGAGAACCGCACGGCGUCGCACCACCGAGCCCUCCAGGUUCUAAUGUGGAGAAUCUCUACAGAACCUGAUGGAGUAGAGCGGCUAUACGCGACUCAGAGGGAUAGGCGUGGCACAAGGCAGGGUGCGCCGGAUCUCAGAGUGCCCUGGCCCGAGGAUGGCCAACAUCCCCCCUGGGCUCACCCGGCAUGCACCUGGAACACCCCCUACUCGCCGCAUGAUAGACACCACGGCCUCCGCCGUCGAGUACGAGACUGGACGCGGCCCUCGCGGGUCAAGGUGUGCGGUGCACCCAUGCCCGUCUGGCGCCCAUUGCGCACCACAUAUGCUCAGAAGGAACGGGAAGGGCCAGAAAAGGCCGCAAGACGCAUACCCCCGAUUCGACGGCAGGACGGCUCGUCCCAGAGGACCCGGAUUGAGCCACAGUGCAGCAAAGGCAGGUACGCCAUGCUUGUAUAUGCGUGUAUGCGUUUGCGGACUUGCUCGUGGCAGAAUGGCGUGCUGAAAGCAAGGGGCAUUCAUGCACUGCUCUACACCGAUGAAGAGAGACACCUUAGUGUGUGGUGCUGCAGGGCCCAGCAAACACCUCUCUGGGUGGACGCCGAGCAGCCCCCCUGCUUCCCUUUUUCCUCCUUUUCCCUCUCUCUCCCCAUCGGGGUUCGUCUCUGUUUUGUGCUCUUUGUACUGUACGAGAAACGUGUAUGUGUUCGGAUCUCGAUAUCGCCCAUGCUGCCGUGCAUCCCUUUGUUGUUUUCUUUUUCUGUUUUGUUUUAUGGUUUUGUGAUGCUGGUGCAGUAAGAUGGUGCAGCAUGUGCUCUCUGUCUCGUCCUUUCCGUCAUGCUCCUGUGCUUCUUGCCAUGAGCCGCGUACGGCUGUGCGCGGUCGCUCGCGUCUGCAGUGAGUCGACAUCGAACUUCUCCCUUGGCGCCUUGUUUGCCCGUCCUUGUGUCUUUUCGAAGCGCUGAGGCUUCAACUACCGUAUGCUAGCUUGCUUUGCAUCUCUUUCUCCUUGAUGCCUCCGCUCGCGGUAUUGCGAUCCCUUAUCGGCUACCAAUAGCAUGUGCUACCGCCACUAUCGCUCUCUGGGUUUGUCCUGUAAGACGUGCCUUGAGCCCCCCUCCCUCCCAUCUAUUCCCCUCACACCGCCUCCCCCCCUCCCCCAAAAAGGAACGAGAUUGCUUGCACUCCGGUGACAGAGUGUCUAUUUGUCUGUGUUUGAUGGGCCAGACAUCUCUACGCCAAACUCUGUCGUUUCAUCUCUCCCGCUUCCUCAUUCUUUCCGCUCGCUUCGUCGACUUCGUGUUUUCCGUAUUUUUUCUUCUGGCGGUUCACCAUUCCACCCCUCCGCCAUCUCGAUCCGUCUCUC
rnacentral:misc_RNA from 1 species